CAAUAGUGUAUAUUAACGUUGUUGCAGUUAAAAGGCUCGUAGUCGAAUUUGUGGUAGAGUCGGCUUGACCCACUGCCUUGCGCAGAGGUUGUCGUAGUUGACAUACCAUCUUUCCGGAGGGCGCCUCUUGCUCUUCAUUGAGUAGCUGCGUAAUCCGGAUCAUUUACUGUGAGUAAAUCAAAGUGUUUAAGGCAGGCAUGAUCGCUUGAAUGUAUUAGCAUGGAAUAAUAAGAUAGGACUUCAGUUCUAUUUUGUUGGCUUCUAGGAUUGAAGUAAUGAUUGAAAGGGAUAGUUGGGGGUGCUAGUAUUUAACGGUAAGCGGUGAAAUGCUCGGACCCGUUAAAGACUAACUUAUGCGAAAGCAUUCACCAAGGAUAUUUUCUUUGA
rnacentral:rRNA from 1 species